rnacentral:rRNA from 1 species
UCCUACGGGACGCAGCAGUGGGGAAUAUUGGGCAAUGGGCGCAAGCCUGACCCAGCAACGCCGCGUGAGGGAAGAAGGCCCUCGGGUUGUAAACUUCUUUUAUUCGGGACGAAACAAAUGACGGUACCGAAUGAAUAAGCCACGGCUAACUACGUGCCAGCAGCCGCGGUAAUACGUAGGUGGCAAGCGUUAUCCGGAUUUACUGGGUGUAAAGGGCGUGUAGGCGGGAGUGCAAGUCAGAUGUGAAAACUAUGGGCUCAACCCAUAGCCUGCAUUUGAAACUGUACUUCUUGAGUGCUGGAGAG